AGGAGGAACAGCCUCAGUGGCGGGGCAGCUCUGGAAACCUGGAUUCAGCUCCGGCAGGAACUCCGUCUGCAGGGCCUGGAGGCUCCGGGGCGGG
rnacentral:pre_miRNA from 1 species